AGAUCACUUGAGAGCCCAGGAGGUGGAGGUUGGGGUGAGCUGAGAUCGCGCUACCGCAUUCCACCCUGGGUGACAGAG
rnacentral:snRNA from 1 species